UAAUUAGUGACUUACAGACUGUGGUCCAGC
rnacentral:piRNA from 1 species